UACGGAGGGUGCGAGCGUUGUCCGGAAUUCAUUGGGCGUAAAGGGCGCGUAGGUGGCCCGGUCAGUUCGUGGUGAAAGCGCGGGGCUCAACCCUGCGUCGGCCAUGAAUACUGCCGCGGCUGGAGCACUGUAGAGGCAGGCGGAAUUCCGGGUGUAGCGGUGGAAUGCGUAGAGAUCCGGAAGAACACCGGUGGCGAAGGCGGCCUGCUGGGCAGUGCUGACACUGAGGCGCGACAGCGUGGGGAGCA
rnacentral:rRNA from 1 species